GUGUUCACUUUGGCAACACAUAUACUAAAAUUGAAACGGUACAGAGAUUAGCAUGGCCCCUGCGCAAGGAUGACAUGCAAAUUCGUGAAGCAGGAAGGAAGGAA